rnacentral:SRP_RNA from 1 species
GCAAUGGGACCCCGCGAAUCGUGUCAGGGCCGGGAGGCAGCAGCACUAAGCGGGUAACCCCAUGUGCUAUCGGGGUAGCCGGGCCGGAGCCGACGGCCGGGAGUUCGCCGGGUUCGAGUCCGUCGAAGGCGGGGUG